rnacentral:rRNA from 1 species
AAUAGAUACCCCGGUAGUCCACGCCGUAAACGAUGAGUGCUAAGUGUUAGAGGGUUUCCGCCCUUUAGUGCUGCAGCAAACGCAUUAAGCACUCCGCCCUGGGGAGUACGGUCGCAAGACUGAAACUCAAAGGAAUUGACGGGGGGCCCGCACAAGCGGUGGAGCAUGUGGUUUAAUUCGAAGCAACGCGAAGAACCUUACCAGGUCUUGACAUCCUUAUGCCAUCUCUAGAGAUAGAGCUUUCCCUUCGGGGACAUAAGUGACAGGUGGUGCAUGGUUGUCGUCAGCUCGUGUCGUGAGAUGUUGGGUUAAGUCCCGCAACGAGCGCAACCCUUGAUCUUAGUUGCCAGCUAUUCAGUUGGGCACUCUAAGGUGACUGCCGGUGACAAACCGGAGGGAAGGUGGGGAUGACGUCAAAUCAUCAUGCCCCUUAUGACCUGGGCUACACACGUGCUACAAUGGAUGGUACAAAGGGCAGCGAACCGCGAGGUUAAGCAAAUCCCAUAAAACCAUUCUCAGUUCGGAUUGC